GGAUGUGAGGGCGAUCUGGCUGCGGCAUCUGUCAUGUCACCCCGUUGAUCAUCUGGUUGGAUUUGGCUGAUCUGGCUGACCAGGCGGGCGUCCCCUUCUUCCCUCACCACUCCAAAUGCGUCCCUCUGAAGCUGUCUGCUCAGCCGAAGAGGACGGCAUUCCCUGAAGAAAGACGACAGACCGUUCUUGGGUCGAGGGUAUGUGAGGGAAUACAAGUAGCUGCGCUCCUCUGCUUAGAACCUCAAUGAGCUCUCAAGGUCCGUUUGUAGGAGAACGUAGUGGAGUCAAGCUUCCAGACUCCAGACACAUCCAAAUGAAGUGCUGCACGUGGCAGUCUGCCUUUCU
rnacentral:snRNA from 1 species